rnacentral:rRNA from 1 species
ACGGAGCGGCGAACGGGUGAGUAACACGUGGGCAACCUGCCCUCAGCUCUGGGACAACUCCGGGAAACCGGGGCUAAUACCGGAUACGACAUCGGACUGCAUGGUCUGGUGUGGAAAGUUUUUCGGCUGGGGAUGGGCCCGCGGCCUAUCAGCUUGUUGGUGGGGUGGAGGCCUACCAAGGCGACGACGGGUAGCCGGCCUGAGAGGGCGACCGGCCACACUGGGACUGAGACACGGCCCAG